GAAAGAAACCAACAGGGAUUGCCCUAGUAACGGCGAGUGAAGCGGCAACAGCUCAAAUUUGAAAGCUGGCCUUCGGGUCCGCAUUGUAAUUUGUAGAGGAUGCUUUGGGGCAGCCGCCUGUCUAAGUUCCUUGGAACAGGACGUCAUAGAGGGUGAGAAUCCCGUAUGUGACAGGACAUGGCACCCUAUGUAAAGCUCCUUCGACGAGUCGAGUUGUUUGGGAAUGCAGCUCUAAAUGGGAGGUAAAUUUCUUCUAAAGCUAAAUACCGGCGAGAGACCGAUAGCGCACAAGUAGAGUGAUCGAAAGAUGAAAAGCACUUUGGAAAGAGAGUUAAAAAGCACGUGAAAUUGUUGAAAGGGAAGCGCUUGCAAUCAGACUUGUCUUUGGCGGUUCGGCCGGUCUUCUGACCGGUUUACUCCGCCAGGGACAGGCCAGCAUCAGUUUCGGCGGUCGGAUAAAGGCCUUGGGAAUGUGGCCCUCCCUUCGGGGCGGGUGUUAUAGCCCAGGGUGUAAUACGGCCAGCCGGGACUGAGGUCCGCGCUUCGGCUAGGAUGCUGGCGUAAUGGUUGUAAGCGACCCGUCUUGAAACACGGACCAAGGAGUCUAACAUCUAUGCGAGUGUUCGGGUGUCAAACCCCUACGCGUAAUGAAAGUGAACGGAGGUGAGAACCGCAAGGUGCAUCAUCGACCGAUCCUGAUGUCUUCGGAUGGAUUUGAGUAAGAGCAUAGCUGUUGGGACCCGAAAGAUGGUGAACUAUGCCUGAAUAGGGUGAAGCCAGAGGAAACUCUGGUGGAGGCUCGCAGCGGUUCUGACGUGCAAAUCGAUCGUCAAAUUUGGGUAUAGGGGCGAAAGACUAAUCGAACCAUCUAGUAGCUGG
rnacentral:rRNA from 1 species